rnacentral:rRNA from 1 species
UACGUAGGGGGCAAGCGUUGUCCGGAUUUAUUGGGCGUAAAGAGCGUGUAGGCGGUCAUGUAGGUCCGUUGUGAAAACUCGAGCUCAACCUCGAGACGCCGAUGGAAACCAUAUGACUAGAGUCCGGAAGAGGAGAGUGGAAUUCCGUGGUGUAGCGGUGAAAUGCGCAGAUACCAGGAAGAACACCCGUGGCUAAGGCGGCCUCGUCUAGU